UAGAGGGCGGAUGGGUGGGAUGGGGACACCGGCUUGAGGGACAGGUGUCAACGAUACGCAACACCGCGCGCACUCGCACACCCCCGGGGCGGAAGUAUCCUUCCUCUUUCCGGUUGGGAACGACCGGCUGGGAAAGGAACCUGCGGAGGAUCCAGGCGGGCGCGGUUCACCCGGACACACGGUAUAUGAAUUCUACAGACGAUCUGCAAUGAAUUUCCCGCCGUUCGGAGGUCACUUCCCCAGCACUAUACCGAGUAUCCAUCAGUUCGCGACCGAUAGCUCCAGCGGUGCGGGCGCGCGUUACGCCAAUCAUUUUCCCAACCAGCCUCCGAUCGGAGUGCCGGUUAUGGGAAAGUACCGUCCCGAGAACAACGGCGUACAAUCCGCACAGUCGCAAGUGAUGAUGAACAAUAAAACCAGCUAUCCCAACAGUAAUGUUCACCAUUAUCCGAAUGUGCCGUACUCGCAAGCCCAGUCGGUUCAACAACGGCCGACCAAUUCGCCUGGAAUGCAAGAGAAACGCUCGUAUCAUCAGCAGUCCACGGAAACAAUAAAUCAGCAAGAUGUUUGCAAUCUCCUGCAAGACAAGGAUAAGAGUAAGGAGAAAAAAGAGGAACAGCGCAACGGAGAGACUGCCACAAAUGGUACUCAGCAGGAUUACACGAUGCAUCAACAUCAUCAACAGCAUGCUCAUACUCAAACACCUGCUUCUAUGCCAGCUACGUGGCAGUCGCUCGCGACUCCUGGAUCCACCGUAGCCGAUUAUCUCAGUCAUUUGCCGGCUAGUACUCUGCCGUUGAGUUUACAUCAUUUCCUCAAAUAUUCCGCUGAAAGUAUCAAGAAGGAGUCGGAGAUGGCGCAAACUACUUCGGUGGCUGUCGCAACCACAACGACACCCAAUAUCAUGAUGUCGCCGAAUAAUAAAAAGAAGAAAAAGAAGAAGACGCCGAAGGAAAAGAAGCCACGUCCAAAGCCUGGCGAAAUUCGUCUGACGACAGCGUUGGACGGCUCGACGUUGUACUGUUGUCCGGAAUGCCAUAUGGCGUAUCCGGAGCGAGAAUUGUUGGAGCAGCAUCUUUUAGGUCACACCUUGGAGAGAAGAUUCGUCUGUGACAUAUGCGGCGCCGGCUUGAAACGAAAGGAUCAUCUCACGCGUCAUAAACAAAGUCAUAAUCCCGAGCGACCUUACGUUUGCACUGUCUGCUUGAAGGCUUUUAAGAGAAAGGAACAACUGACAUUACAUUUUGUAAUACAUUCUGGGGAGAAACGGCACGUCUGUACCGAAUGUGGCAAAGGAUUUUAUCGAAAGGAUCAUUUACGGAAACAUACCAGAAGCCACAUCGCCAGAAGAGUGAAAGCUGAACUAAGUCAAAACGCUAGUACGCAACAGAAUCAACAACAAAAUAACGUUUCGAAUAUGCAAACGACCACCGUUUCGGCAUCGUCUGUUCUUCCGGGCGGGCAUCCCGGUUCUCUCCUGUCCUGAGCCCCGCCACCAGGGAACUUUCAGGUUCCCCAUCCAAACAAUAUUCUUCACACGCAUACUUCGCAUCAUUCGCUGCAUCAUCAUCAUCUAACGGCGGUUAAUGUGGCGCAUCAAUCGAGCAUCACGCCACUCGCUACAUCCGGUCAUUAUCAGUCGCAUGAGCUUAGCUUUUUGGGACACGUUAAAGAUUUCUGAGACGAGGAGAGGACCUCGACAAAGAGGUAACACCAAGACGCUAACCGAUCGUCACUGUCUCGUCGUCGACGUAUGAGAUCUCCGCGCGUGUACAACUUCGUGUUCGCGGAUGCCCGGUGCACGGCCGUGCCCAUGCCAUAGUGGUUAUUCUCGCAGAUGUAGACCACCGGCAGAUUCCACAGCUUCGCCAUGUUCCAAGCUUCGUGGAGUUGGCCCUGCGAAGCCGCACCGUCGCCGUACAACGUAAAAGCCACGCCGCCUGUGCCGUUGUAUUUGUGGGCCAGAGCCAUACCGGUGCCGAUCGGUACCUGGAUCGCGAAAGCAGACGCUAGAGUUCCAGGAGUUGGAGACAUUAUUCAUCAGGAGGCGAGGACCCCAAGUAGAAAAGUCAAAAUAAUAUGUCAGUUUGAUGUCAUAUUGAUCAAAUUUGGACUCCAGAUUUGCUUCCCUGUUCUACUUGGCACCAUUUGUGGUUUACCUGUCCGCCAACGAUACCGUCGCCGCCGUAGAAUCGCGGCGCAUACAUGUGCAUCGAGCCGCCCUUGCCCUUGGAGGCACCAGUUUUGCGUCCCAUAAGUUCCGCGAAAACCGCCCGCGCCGGGAUGUCGAAGAUGACAGCGAAGCCGUGACACCUGUACGCCGUGAUGACGGUGUCCUGCUCGGCAAUGGCCAUCCUGAGACCCAUCACUAUAGCUUCCUGCAAAGGAUCAUCUAAAUCAAACUCUGAGUAGACUCGACCGUGAGACUGUCCUGACGUCGACAUCGUUUCGACAACGCGAUCCUCUUCACGUGAAAGGGAUACAGCGGCUUCUGCGUGAACGGAUCCGAGCGCGUUGCGCGAAAUUCGUUCGAAGAUUCUUCCGCAUGAACCAGAAAUGUCAGCGCGUCCCGCCACCAUCGACGAGCGUCCCGUUUUCGUGUCUCGCGAAUUUGGGCCGACAACAACUUUUCACCUCUCACAAUAUAUCGGCUGUGACGAGGACACAGUUGACUGUGUUUGCUGGUAGCUCGCGACAGCGAGGAGUGCGUGGGCGCUGCUACGCGAUCUAUUUCGACCUGAGAGAGUGUCGAGAGACAAAUUAGACUCGUUACAGUCGUUUAAGUGAAUAAUUAUAAUUCGAUAUAUUUAUUACACGUGCAGAGAAGAAAUAUUAGGACUCGAUUUUAAGAUAUUUCUUCUCUAGACAGCUAUUCUGCUACUAACAAAUGAACCAGUUAUCUUCUGUCUUUGUAAUUAAAAUGAGGCUUUGGAAAAUAAUUAUAGACAUGUCUUAGGAUCAUUUAAAAUUAGUCAGAUUAAUCAUUAUUGUUCAAAAUCAAUUUCAAGCAAACAGUUAGUUUGUACAUCUAGCUUUCAACAAUGAAGCUUUCCGAAUUCUAGUGCUCCUGAGAAUUUUUCAGAAAAUCUGACUAAUUUUAAAUGAUCCUGAGGUAUACUUAUAAAUCAUUUCUCAGUCUCAUUUCAAUUAUGAUGGUAGAAGACAACCAGAUUACUUGUGAAUUUUCAUCAUCCCUGAUUUUUUUUACUCAUUUACAUUCCUACACCUUUGACAGUUUAUUUUAAAAAACUAAUAUAAAAUAAAAAUAUUGAUAAUUUGAUAAGAAAGCAAAGUCCUUCUCAUAAAAGGCUGAUUUUACUAAAAGCUGAGGAAAUAGAAUUUAUGUAAGGAUGAGGCAGCACUUGAAUGCAACGCUUACUUUGGCACGCUUGAGACCUCGGCGAUUCGUUCGCGACGGUUGACGCGUCGCCGCCGACGUUACUUCAGUCCUCUGCUUCGGGGUUCGCUCCUUGUCAGGAUCGCCGAAUAAUCCCUUCGAUUCCGCGACCUUGAUCAUAAAAAGCGAAUCGAACUGCAUCAUCUCCUUUCGUUUUAUUACGGCGACGAAGCAGCCUGGAUCUAGGGUCCGCUCGCUAUCCUCGCCGUAAAUUUCGUCGAUACUUCCCACUUCGAACAAAUCACUGUCGGGGAUCUAAUGAUAAUUUUUACCUUUAAUAACGAACUAUAAUCAUCACUCUCAAGAUUGUACGCGCGUGUUUUUCUUUUUUAUAAAUAAUCUUACGACAAUGUCAUCAGUCGUCAUCAACGAUGAUCCUCCUUCAUCCUCAUCCUCCUGCUUGAUCGAGAGCGUUUGUUCGUGCUGCAUCUGCGAAUGAUCGUCCUGUUCUUGUCUAGCAGGUUGUCUAAUUUUGGAAACUUUUCCGCUACCAUCUUUCGAUGCAGCCUUCCUCUUUGGCUAAAAAAAGAACAAGAAACUAUAUGAAACGAAAUACACAUGGAAUACUUGAAGAGAUACUUUCAACGACCAGCAUGCACUGAUUGAAAGAUGCUCGCGAAUGUACUUCUCCGUGGCUAUUCGAUUGGCGUAUUCGACAACCUGUCGAAUCAUCUCCGUAGUUUCGGACGGGAGAAUCGUGUGCACCUCGUAUAUCAGGAACUGUAUGUUCGGCCUGGUGAGCGCGUGCUUAAGCGUGGAAAAUUGUUCGGCGAGCAGAGCCCGGGGAUGCUUCAUCUCGCCACCCGUCAGGUCGCUGGUCAACGAUUCCAGGAGGCCGAUGUCGCCGCCGCGAGCGACAGCGAGGUCGACGAUGUCCCGGAUGCCGGUGUAGCUGCAUGGGGGAGUUGCUAGAACGACAGUCGCUCUUUCCAGCUCGAUGGAUGUUGGUGGAGAUACGUAUCUGGAACGAAAGAACUCUUUCAGGAUCUUCUACUACUAUUCGAACAAUAUAAUCUUCGGGAUAUCUUCUAAACAUUUUCUGGAUAUGCAUGUCAUAUUUCUUUUGGAUAUUGUGUGGGAUAGUUUUUCUUAUGAAAAAAGAAGAAAUAUUUCUUCUUCUAAGAGAAAGAGAAUUACUUUUCGGAGAAAAUUUGGCAGUGUUGCAGAGUAACGCCCAGGGUCUCGAGAUAAGCCUCGUAUUCGCAGCGACGAUCCCCGGCGCCAAAGACCAACAGUCUCCCGGCGUCCUCGAUGUCAGCCAGGAGUCCCGCCAAGUAUCCCGUGUGACGAGGUGCGAUUGAGUGCGUGAGGAUGACGGGACCACAAAGACGAGCGACGCGGAUCGCCUGGGCCAGCGUAGCUGCUCCGAGACACAAGGAUCUUUCCUAAACAGAUCUCUGCAUUUUUUUUAUAUUCGAUAUCGGUGAAUAAGAUAACUCCAAGGUGGAAAAUCGGUUUUAGCGCCGAUUGAAUAUAUGUAUAUAUAUUCACCAGAAAGAUAAAGCGAUGGCUGUGAACCAGAUCGGACACGGCGAGUCUCUCCCGCGCCUUGUCAUGCAAAUUGAUUAUCUUCGGGCAAACUGUAUCGAAGAUGAAGUCGGUCUCCUUGAGCUCCAUGGUUCUAAUGUCGUCGCAGAAUUCGAGCUUCAGCCGCGACAUGUCUUUAACAAAUUCGUCCUUAUCAGCUACUCUCAUGGUGUUGAUCCAUCCGGAAGCGAUCGCGCCUUCAUCGGACCAGCUGAUUCCUUCAGCGGUGCGCAAAUGCAUUGGAAGAAGCUCGUCUGUAUAAAUAUAGGACAGUUGAUACAAGGAAGGGUCAAUAUAUAUAUAUAUAUAUAAUUGGCAACACUCUAUGUGUAAAACCUUUCUAUAUUGUACAAUAAAGGAACAAGUUUAUGCAAAUAGAAAAUUAGAAAUAACCAAGACUGAGCGCUGAACCGCCGAUACGAAGACGCGAGAUGCUUGCUGCCAGAUGUGUCUUUGCCUUCAAAAGAGCGUUUUCGAUGUUCUUCAAUCCAUAAGUCUGCAAAAGUAUAGCUUCAUUGGCAUAACUCGGAGAGGGUCGCGCAUUUUGGAGAACCUUGGCGGCGAGGACGAUAUCAUUGACACGCCAACCCGGUUCUACGCAAGCCUCCGUCAUCGAACCACCGGAUCCCGAGAUGGCCUUCAAGGAAGCCACGACGUCCUGACUUUCGUCUCUUCUUCCCUUAGGGAGAUGUCCUCCCUCUCUGGGACGCCAUUCCCAGUCAUCCUGCGAAUUCUUGCGGCUCAUAGACCGCUUAAGCUCCUCCGUCCUCGAACAAAAACAUUCGCGUACUUAUGAUCCUUUGGCAAAUUCAAUCUAUUAUACAGCGAAUAGAAUUAUAUUUUGGGAGGUUUUUAAGGUAUAUGCAAUCUUGAUUAUAUGCGAUCUCGGGGACUAAUAUGAGGAAUAUUCAUUCUUUUGGAGAUACAUACAUUUGCGAUUACUUCAGACGCGAAUAUAAAAACGAAAGGAUUGCAAGGACAUAUAUAUGAAAAAUUAUUUUAAUUAAUUAAUUAAUUAAAUGUAUGCGAUUCACACAUCCUUCUAUCAACAUCCUCGAUGACAUCGAGCGAAGUGUAACACGAAAAGAAUUCGCGAAUCAGAGAAAUAUUCAUUUGUCCCAAAACGAUUGCGAUCAGUUAUAUUCUUUUACAUUGUAAUUUACAUCACAUAUCUAUCUUAUACAUAUAUAUAUAUAUAUAUAUAUAUGACAAUUAUGUAUAAUAAUAAUAUAUAACAUAUAUAUAUUUUUGUUCACAAAAUUAUAAAAGCUUAUUAAUCAG